rnacentral:rRNA from 1 species
ACGCACGCUGGCGGCGUGCCUAAUCCAUGCAAGUUGAGCGCUGAAGGUUGGUACUUGUACCAACUGGAUGAGCAGCGAACGGGUGAGUAACGCGUGGGGAAUCUGCCUUUGAGCGGGGGACAACAUUUGGAAACGAAUGCUAAUACCGCAUAAAAACUUUAAACACAAGUUUUAAGUUUGAAAGAUGCAAUUGCAUCACUCAAAGAUGAUCCCGCGUUGUAUUAGCUAGUUGGUGAGGUAAAGGCUCACCAAGGCGAUGAUACAUAGCCGACCUGAGAGGGUGAUCGGCAAAAAUGGGAAUGAGACACGGCCCAAAACCCUAAGGGAGGCAGCAGUAGGGAAUCUUCGGCAAUGGACGAAAGGCUGAACGAGCAACGCCGCGUGAGGGAAGAAGGUUUUCGGAUCGUAAAACUCUGUUGGUAGAGAAGAAAGUUGGUGAGAGUGGAAAGCGCAUCAAGUGACGGUAACUACCCAGAAAGGGACGGCUAACUACGUG